UCCUCUACACCGAGUAAUUCCUUGAUUGCAUCUCUUGUUGGUUGCGCCAUAUUAGCACUGAAAAAAAUCUCCAAUUUUUCAAAAUUUAUUUUCUGGCUCGAGUCUACCUCAGAAUUUUGUUUCAAAUUUUGGCACUCCCUAAUGUUUGCCCGAGCGAAAAGAAUGCUAUCAUCUGCAGAAAAUAAAUGAGAAAUCUUCGGACUAAUCCUACAAACUUUCACCCCAUGAAUGUCAUUGUUAUGUAUAACUUUCCUAAUCAUUGUGAUAACCCUUCUUCACAUAAGAUUAAUAAAGAGGGCGAUAUAGUUGACGAAGACCCCUGGUUAGUUUAAGAAAAGCUUUACAUUGGCCAUUAAUAAUAAAUGAAAAAGAAGUACAAGACAAACAAUUCAUAAUCAAAGUAAUAAAAUGAUCAGGAAACUUCAUCUUAAUCAUGAUUCUCUAGAGAUAUUCCCACACAAGGCCUGACAUCUCUUACAUAGUUAACAAACUUAGUCAGUAUAUGCAACAUCCUACAACAAUUCAUCUCUAAGGAGUCAAAAGAGUCUUAAGAUAUCUAAAGAGCACUAGAAAGAGAUUUUACAUUAAGCCAUGCACUGCUCUAACUCUUCAAAGCUUUACUGAUGCUGACUAUGCAUGUUGUCUAGAUGAGAUAAAAUCAACAACUGGCUACUGUGUGUAUCUUGGUAAGACUCUAGUGUCCUGGUCAUCCAAGAAAUAAAAGGAUGUAUCCAAAUCAAGUGCAGAAUCUGAAUAUAAGGCUUUAGCAGAAGCUACUUGUGAAAUUAUCUGGUUAGAAUCAUUUCUAAAAGAAAUUUCCUUCUCUCCCAUCUGCACCCCUGUCCUUUGGUGUGAUAAUCUCAGUGCUAGUGUUCUAGCAGCUAAUCUUGUUUUCCACACUAGAACUAAGCAUAUAGAGGUGGAUGUGCACUUUAUAAGAAAUAGAGUCUUAACAAAGAAGUUGGAUGUCAGGUUUAUUCCUUUCCAUGAUCAAACUGCAGAUUGUCUCACUAAAACCUUAUCUCACAGUCCAUUCGAGUUCAUGAGGGAAAAAUUUGGUGUGGUUGAAUCAGAGAUAUCCACCCCAAGUUUGGAAGGGAGAGUUAGAACCAAUCCAAGAAAAGGGUUUGGUGUAACCUCCAAGGAAGCUCCAAGCUACAUGUCGUCAGUGCACUGUCAAUGGAAAUUAACAGUAAUGAAAUUUCCAUUCCAUGUUGGACAAGUCUUUGGAAAAGCUUAUCACUGCCGCAACUUGAACUAUUGGUUUGGUUAGUUUUGCAUGGUAAAGUGAAUACAAGAAGUUAGUGAAAAGAGGAAUUCUUGAUCUAUCCUUAAACAUAUGUCCUCUAUGCAACUCGUUUCCUAUAGAAGUCGAACACUUGUUCAUUCAUUACCGCUGGUCUUGGAAAAUCUAGUCUAAACUGUUUGCUUGGUGGAACCAAGUAUGGUGUAUUCCUUUCUUCGUUUUGAUUUUUAUGAACAAUAAUAACAGUAAGUUUUAGAGUA